CCCUUAGAUGUCCUGGGCUGCACGCGCGCUACACUGAUGUGUCCAGUAAGCACCUAACCUCUUCCGAAAGGAACGGGUAACCUUUGCAAAGCACAUCGUGAUGGGGAUAGACUAUUGCAAUUAUUAGUCUUGAACGAGGAAUUCCUAGUAAGCACAAGUCAUCAGCUUGUGUUGAUUACGUCCCUGCCCUUUGUACACACCGCCCGUCGCUCCUACCGAUUGAAUGUUCCGGUGAGCUCUUCGGACUGCGCGGUCUGCAGUUUCUGCGUUCCGUGCGGAAAGUUGCGCAAACCUUAACAUUUAGAGGAAGGAGAAGUCGUAACA
rnacentral:rRNA from 1 species